rnacentral:rRNA from 1 species
GAUGAACGCUAGCUACAGGCUUAACACAUGCAAGUCGAGGGACCGGCGCACGGGUGAGUAACACGUAUCCAACCUUCCCUUUACUCGGGGAUAGCCUUUCGAAAGAAAGAUUAAUACCCGAUAUAAAGGAUGGGGAUGCGUUCCAUUAGGUUGUUGGUGAGGUAACGGCUCACCAAGCCUUCGAUGGAUAGGGGUUCGGAGAGGAAGGUCCCCCACAAUGGAAGUGCGGCAAGGUCCAAACGCCUACUGGAGGCAGCAGUGAUGAGUAUUGUUGAAUGGGGGCUAGCCUGAACCAGCCACGUAGCGUGAAGGAUGAAGGAUUAUGGGUCUUAUACUUCUUUUAUAUAAGAAUAUGUAUUAUAUGAAGAAGGACCGGCUAACUCCGUGCCAGCAGCCGCGGUAAUUC